CCCCUAGAUGUUCUGGGCCGCACGCGCGCUACACUGAACAGUUCAACAAGUCUUAACCUUGGCCGAUAGGUCUGGGUAAUCUUUGAACGCUGUUCGUGAUUGGGAUAGACCUUUGCAAUUAUGGGUCUUCAACGAGGAAUUCCUAGUAAACCCAAGUCAUCAGCUUGCAUUGAUUACGUCCCUGCCCUUUGUACACACCGCCCGUCGCACCUACCGAUUGAAUGGUCCGGUGAAAUCUCGGGACGGCGGCUUGGUCGCUUGCGUCCGACUGCUGAAACUUGAUUAAACCAUAUCAUUUAGAGGAAGGUGAAGUCGUAACA
rnacentral:rRNA from 1 species